rnacentral:rRNA from 1 species
AUUGAACGCUGGCGGAAUGCUUUACACAUGCAAGUCGAACGGCAGCACGGGUGCUUGCACCUGGUGGCGAGUGGCGAACGGGUGAGUAAUGCACCGGAACGUAUCCAAUAAUGGGGGAUAACGCACCGAAAGGUGUGCUAAUACCGCAUACGCCCUGAGGGGGAAAGCGGGGGAUCGUAAGACCUCGCGUUAAUGGAGCGGCCGAUGCCGGAUUAGCUAGUUGGUGAGGUAAAGGCUCACCAAGGCGACGAUCCGUAGCUGGUCUGAGAGGACGACCAGCCACACUGGAACUGAGACACGGUCCAGACUCCUACGGGAGGCAGCAGUGGGGAAUUUUGGACAAUGGGCGCAAGCCUGAUCCAGCCAUUCCGCGUGAGUGAAGAAGGCCUCGGUGUAAGA